rnacentral:rRNA from 1 species
AAUAUUGUACAAUGGGGGCAACACUGAUCUAGCCAUGCCGCGCGUGUGAAGAAGGUCUUCGGAUUGUAAUGCACUUUAAGUUGGGAGGAAGGGCUUUAGGUUAGUACCCUGAAGUUUUGACGUUACCAACAGAAUAAGCACCGGCUAACUCUGUGCCAGCCGCCGCGGUAAUACAGAGGGUGCAAGCGUUAAUCGGAAUUACUGGGCGUAAAGCGCGCGUAGGUGGUUCAGUAAGCUGGGUGUGAAAUCCCCGGGCUUAACCUGGGAACUGCUUUCAUAACUGCUGAGCUAGAGUACGGUAGAGGGUAGUGGAAUUUCCUGUGUAGCGGUGAAUUGCAUAGAUAUAGGAAGGAACACCAAUGGCGAAGGCGACUACCUGGACUGAUACUGACGCUGAGGUGCGAAAGCGUGGGGAGCAAACA